rnacentral:tRNA from 1 species
GCAGGGGUGCCGGAGUGGUCAAACGGGCGAGAUUAAGGCUCUCGUGGUUUAUCCUUACGCAGGUUCGAAUCCUGUCCCUUGCA